AUGAAAGGUGGAAGCGGAAUCAUGUGUGUUGAAGACAUGAAUGCAGACAACACUGGUCCUGUUUUGCUAAAUGUCAGGUGGGCGGGCCAACGAGGUGGCUGCGGGUGGCGGAGGCUGCGGCUGGACGGUGUCUCUGUCGAAUCAUUCCGUCCGCAGCCUAGAGCAAACAAUGCGGGUUCUUCUCUUGUCGUCACUGGGAGGCUGGGACAUGAUGUCCUGAGGAAUUUCUUAGUGGGCAUACGCACGUACUACGUGCGAGCAAAGGUCGGGGAGUCGCCUCCCCCCUUCCUCCCGCACACCUCUGCACCCGCAUCUAUCAACCUCUGUCGUUGCCCUUCGUCAAACCGUCAAUUGCCACCUCUGGUGGGCGUUGCUACUAUCAUGUCGCUUCAUGGUCCUACCCUGUCCGAGUCCCUGCCUCCACCUCACCCUUGCGGCCCUGAACCCUCGACCAACCCUCUAAAGCCCUUUGUUUGGGGCCAGCGAGCCCCCGACCAUCCCUCCCCUUUGUUUGGGGCUAGUGAGCCCCUGACCAUCCUUCCCCUUUGUUUGGGUCAGCAAGCCCCUGACCAUCCCUCUAAAGCCUCCGUCCCCUUCUUUGGGGCCGCCAAGCCCCCUCCACCCUUGCACCCCUACACCUCCACAUGUCAACCUCUGCCUUGCCUUUGCAAGCGACGCAACGUCGUCUCGCCUCUGGCUCGUUGCCUGCUCACCCUCAAUCAGACAUCAAGGGUGAUCUUUCAUUUUCGGCACAUCUGCAGCUCUUGCAUCUUGGAGGAAGACAACGCUGAGCACAUCCUCAUGCAAUGCGUUUUUGCGAGGGAGGUUUGGUCUUACGCCAUCACAAAUUGCAACAUGGAUAUCCCGGCACCGGACGCUGGUAGCACGAUGCUGGAGUGGUGGCUGCUUGCGAGGAGGCAGUUUCACCGUGCCGAGCGACGCGGGUUCGAUACUAUGGUCAUGAUCACGGCGUGGGCUCUCUGGAAGCAACGUAACGCGAGAGUCUUUGACAGGAGGCAGCAGAUCGUGACGCCUACGCAGCUAUGGCAUCAUAUUGUCGUCGAAGUUUUGGACCUCAAGAGAGCUGGGGUUGGAGUAGGAGGAUUAGAUCGUUUUGUGAGAGAGUAG
rnacentral:rRNA from 1 species